rnacentral:lncRNA from 1 species
UAAAGAGAGCCCCAACCUAUACAGAAAGCAAACAAUGAGAUAAGAGGAACUGUCUCAAAGCUUUCCACUGAAACACAGGUCACCCUGGAAGUUUGCAGGGUUUGCUGUGGGCAUCUGUAGAUUUCUCGAUCUCGUUAGAUUGCAGGCAUCUUGACAUCUUGGCAACUGCCUAGUUAAUGCCAGUGGCCUGUACCAUAUUAUGGAAAACUGUUAACUGCUUAAUUGGGUAAUUUUCAAAGAAA